AUUAAAUUGAUUAUAUUUUUACUUAUUUGUUUGAUUACUUAUAUAUUUUUUUGCUUGUAAUUUAUAACUCCCUCUGUCCCUCACAAGAAGUAUCUGCAUUAAGAUUGUCGGUGGGAUUACUGCGAAUUCUAUGUUGUAAACCCUACCGUUCAAUGACUUGGAAUAAAAAUCUGAAUGACCCAUCUGUUAAGGCUCCCCAAAACAACGAGUUUUGGCGCGUGAUUAUUCGCGAUAAAAUCGACCUCGCGCACAACAAAAAUAGCUUUUUGGAUCGCAUCUUUCGAGUGCCAAUUUCAUACAAUCUUUCGAAUACCAAUGUCGACCGACCGCAGGCGCCGCCCAGUUAGGAAGAGACCCAAUCUCGAUGGGGAUCAGCGCCGAGGCGUUUUAUAAAAAACUUGUUGUCGCGCAUUCACGACGGAAAGCUCGCUUACGGCUCGAUGAAGGACGCAGUGUUGACGUGUAGCAUCCACCUCAAGAUAGAUAUCAUACAUCCUUUAUUAGUCAUAAGAUAGAGCCACAUUCUCAUAGACUCAGGAGACUCAGAAGCUGCCAAAUUCUCCACAACGACGCGAACAAUCAGAAUUUGGAAGCGUGCUUGAACAUCUUUGUUGAACCAAAUCGCAACUGAUGUCUUUCCUCACAAGGCUGGAAAGUUUGUACGCGAACCGAUUGAAGUGGACCCAGAAGUCAUUGAAGCAUGGACAUCGAGGUUGCGCGAGUGCAUUUGAUCCUUUGCGAUUACAACAAGCUGGAGCGAUUGCGUUACUGCCUAUCGAUGCAAGACGGGGACAUUGUUGCUGAUCAGCCUUAUUUUAAGGACAUGGACUACAUUCACGUCAAUGAAAAGUGGUUAUUUAUUUUUAUUUUGUAUUUUUUUCUCACGGAAUCAAAGCAGUAGGUACUACUUGGCGGAAGAUGAGCAAGAAUCCCACCGGACAUGUAAAUCCAAAUGAUUCAUCCUCAAGAUGUUGUUUUUGGCUUCUGUCGCGCGUCCUCGAUGGGGCUCUUCGCGAAACUAAUGGUUUGAUGGCAAACUCGGGAUCUUCCCGUUCGUCUUCCAAUUCUACGCAGCACCAGCAGCAGCAGCAAGAAUUGAGUGGCCGACACCGUGGAAACCUCGAUCAACAAGGAGGAAUACAUGAAGAUGAUGACUGAAAAGGUCUUGCCUGCGAUCGGCGAUAAAAUGGCAUCUCUUUUACAUCCAACAAAACAAUGCAGGACCGCAUAUCCCAGGAGAGACGAUUCAACAUAUUUGUCGAGUUCAACAUCAAUCGAAUGGUGUCAGGAUCCCAAACAGUCCUGACAAAAAUGUUUUCUGGACAUGGGGUUCUUCUUCCGAUUGAUCCAUCAACAUCUGAACUGAUAGAUGCGGUGUUCAAGGCAUUCAACAGUCAGUCAGUCAUCCUGAAGAAAUUGCUCAGUAAGGUGUUCUUAUCACACCAGGCACCAGUGCAUGAUUGAGAAACCAUGAAGAUGAGUGAGAGAGAGGUGGCAAUGAAUUACUACGAAGUUCCUCGAAUCUGGGCAAGAGAUCGUCUGCAACGCAAUGCCGAAUUCUUCUCCAAGGAAAUCGAGAUUUGGAGCUCGUUCAUGACGCUCACAUAGCUCUCCAGAAAGCAAGAAUAAGCUCACAGAAAAGAAAUCGGACACUCAUUUUGGAACAGAAAAAUGAAGUCGAAUCGAAGUUUAUACUAAAGGAGAAUGUUCAAGUUUGUCUGCUUAAAGUAUGGUGCAGAUUGAAAAUAAUAACACUUUCGAGAAGCUGAAAAAUAGAAGAAACAAUUAAAAUUCUUAAAUUCCAAAAUUUAAACUUCAAAAAAAUAUAUAUAUAUAUAUAUAUACAUAUAUAAUUUUGAUUGUAAUGCACAUGAUUGCAAAAUGGUUAGGAAAUAUGUUUAUUUCUAUGAGUGUACUA